CUUCAACGACCCCAACCACAACGGACGACCCUCACCCCGGCCUUGUCCGUAGGUCGCCAAAAUCGCCUGCGCCUC
rnacentral:antisense_RNA from 1 species